GUCACUUUGCUAAGGCAAGUCACUUUGCUAAGGCCGAAGCUCAAAGGCUUCCUUAGCUUUUGCCGAAGUUCUGGCCCUUGAAGCGAAGC
rnacentral:tRNA from 1 species